rnacentral:rRNA from 1 species
GCCCUAAACCUCAGUAGUUAGAUAACAAAACUACUCGCCAGAAUACUACAAGCUACAGCUUAAAACUCAAAGGACUUGACGGUGCUUUACACCCCCUAGAGGAGCCUGUUCCGUAAUCGAUAAACCCCGAUCCACCCCACCCUCUCUUGCUCAGCCUAUAUACCGCCAUCUUCAGCAAACCCUAAUGAGGGUCACAAAGUGAGCGCAAAUGCCAUUGCCGCAAACACGUUAGGUCAAGGUGUAGCCUAUGAGACGGUAAAAAAUGGGCUACAUUUUCUACCUCAGAAAAUUCCACGAAAACCCUUAUGAAAUUUAAGGGUCCAAGGAGGAUUUAGCAGUAAAUUAAGAAUAGAGUGCUUAAUUGAACCAGGCCAUAAAGCGCGCACACACCGCCCGUCACUCCUCUCAAAUAUAUUUAAGGAACAUCUUAACUAAACGCCCUAAUAUUUAUAUAGAGAGGAUAAGUCGUAACAUGGUAAGCGUACUGGAAGGUGCGCUUGGAUAAAU